GAGAGUUUUGGACCUGGCUCAGGACGAACGCUGGCGGCGUGCUUAACACAUGCAAGUCGAACGGAAAGGCCCUGCUUUUGUGGGGUGCUCGAGUGGCGAACGGGUGAGUAACACGUGAGUAACCUGCCCUUGACUUUGGGAUAACUUCAGGAAACUGGGGCUAAUACCGGAUAGGAGCUCCUGCUGCAUGGUGGGGGUUGGAAAGUUUCGGCGGUUGGGGAUGGACUCGCGGCUUAUCAGCUUGUUGGUGGGGUAGUGGCUUACCAAGGCUUUGACGGGUAGCCGGCCUGAGAGGGUGACCGGCCACAUUGGGACUGAGAUACGGCCCAGACUCCUACGGGAGGCAGCAGUGGGGAAUAUUGCACAAUGGGCGGAAGCCUGAUGCAGCAACGCCGCGUGCGGGAUGACGGCCUUCGGGUUGUAAACCGCUUUCGCCUGUGACGAAGCGUGUAGUGACGGUAAUGGGUAAAGAAGCACCGGCUA
rnacentral:rRNA from 1 species